UGCUACGGAAGAAACGUAAGAAACUAAUUCAGUAAUUGAUUGAAUUUUUAACGAUUUCAUACUCAUGCAGAACGAUUUCAUAACGAUAAUCUUUCAGGGAAAUCGAUGCGACCAUUUUGAGUCUCGGAACGCAGUCGAAAGAAUCUAACCUGAAGAAGGAUCUAUCUUCAACAAACAAUGAUGAUAAUUGAAGAAAAUAAACAGGAAGAAGUAAAUAUAAGAGAAGGACAGAUAUUUUACGGGAGGAGAGGAAAUUGUGUAAACUCCAAACUUCGAAAGAUGCAGCGCAAUGAUUUUAUAUAACUUGGACAAAUAUCACUGAGAAAGGAGGACGUCGACUUCCCAUCGUUAAUAUUUCCCGGACCCGAUUUAUACUCGAUAAUUGUAUCAAUAAUAUUUGCUGACUGACUGGCUGGCUGCAAUUUGGUCCAAAUUAAUGGAAGACACUUUCGACAGGAUUGAUUUUGGAUUAUAAUAGGGAGAUUAUAUUAAGGCGCAAAUGUGGAGAGACAUCAAAUCAGCCGUGGACGAAAAUUUCAGAUACCAAAUCACGAAACACACCCGGCGACUUUUGAAGGUAAAUGAUACUGGGCUAAAGAAAUUCAGAUGUCUCCUUGCACGAAAA